rnacentral:lncRNA from 1 species
AAGGAUCAUCAAGGCCUGGCCUCAGAGGAGCCCCUGGAUGGCCAGGCUUGAAAGGAAGUAAAGGGGAACGAGGCCGCCCAGGAAAGGAUGCCAUGGGGACUCCUGGGUCCCCAGGUUGUGCUGGUUCACCAGGUCUUCCAGGAUCACCGGGACCUCCAGGACCUCCAGGUGACAUCGUUUUUCGCAAGGGUCCACCUGGAGAUCGCGGACUGCCAGGCUAUCUAGGGUCUCCAGGAAUCCCAGGAGUUGAUGGGCCCAAAGGAGAACCAGGCCUCCUGUGUACACAGUGCCCUUAUAUCCCAGGGCCUCCCGGUCUCCCAGGAUUGCCAGGGUUACAUGGUGUAAAAGGAAUCCCAGGAAGACAAGGUGCAGCUGGCUUGAAAGGAAGCCCAGGGUCCCCAGGAAAUACAGGUCUUCCAGGAUUUCCAGGUUUCCCAGGUGCCCAGGGUGACCCAGGACUUAAAGGAGAAAAAGGUGAAACACUUCAGCCUGAGGGGCAAGUGGGUGCCCCAGGUGACCCGGG